rnacentral:ribozyme from 1 species
UGCCCAGCAAUUCUUAUCCCUACCUCCUCGUGGUAACCUUAGAGAAGAUCGGGUAACCAACCCCGGUGGGAGCUUUGGUCGUAUGCUGAUAGGGAAGG